UACAGAGGUCCCAAGCGUUGUUCGGAUUCAUUGGGCGUAAAGGGUGUGUAGGUGGCGCCGUAAGUCGGGUGUGAAAUCUCGGGGCUUAACUCCGAAACUGCAUUCGAUACUGCGGUGCUUGAGGACUGGAGAGGAGACUGGAAUUCAUGGUGUAGCAGUGAAAUGCGUAGAUAUCUGGAGGAACACCGGUGGCGAAGGCGGCAUCCUGGACCGACACUGACACUGAGGAGCGAAAGCCAGGGGAGCAAACGGG
rnacentral:rRNA from 1 species